AUGCAAGUCGAACGGAAGCAUUUUGCUGAUUCUUCGGAUGAAAUAGAAUGUGGGAAGUGGCGUAAGGGUGAGUAACACGUGGGUAAUGUACCUUCGCAUUGGGGAUAACUUCGCGAAAGCGUAGCUAAUACCGAAUAUUAUCAAAACAACUUCGGUUAUUUUGAUUAAAGGUGGGGACUUUCGGGCCUGCCGUGUGAAGAUCAGCCCGCGCCCUAUUAGCUUGUUGGUGAGGUAACGGCUCACCAAGGCGACGAUGGGUAGCCGACCUGAGAGGGUGACCGGCCACACUGGGACUGAGACACUGCCCAGACUCCUACGGGAGGCUGCAGUCGAGAAUCGUUCGCAAUAGGCGAAAGCCUGACGACGCAAUGCCGCGUGUAUGAAGAAGGCCUUCGGGUUGUAAAAUACUUUGAGCAGGGAAGAAAGCUUACCUGUUAAUAGCAAGUAAGUUUGACGGUACCUGCAGAACAAGCCCCGGCUAAAUUCGUGCCAGCAGCCGCGGUAAUACGAAUGGGGCAAGCGUUGUUCGGAUUAACUGGGCGUAAAGGGGGUCUAGGUUGUUUACUAAGUUUCCUGUGAAAACCCGGAGCUCAACUCCGGGAUUGCAGGGAAAACUAUUAAACUAGAGUGUGCGAGAUGUGUGCGGAAUACUGGGUGUAGCGGUGAAAUGCGUAGAUAUCCAGUAGAACACCAGCGGCGAAAGCGGCACACAUGCGCAUUACUGACACUCAAGCCCGAAAGCGUGGGGAGCAAACAGGAUUAGA
rnacentral:rRNA from 1 species